GUAGGGAAUCUUCCACAAUGGGCGCAAGCCUGAUGGAGCAACACCGCGUGAGUGAAGAAGGGUUUCGGCUCGUAAAGCUCUGUUGUUAAAGAAGAACACGUAUGAGAGUAACUGUUCAUACGUUGACGGUAUUUAACCAGAAAGUCACGGCUAACUACGUGCCAGCAGCCGCGGUAAUACGUAGGUGGCAAGCGUUAUCCGGAUUUAUUGGGCGUAAAGAGAGUGCAGGCGGUUUUCUAAGUCUGAUGUGAAAGCCUUCGGCUUAACCGGAGAAGUGCAUCGGAAACUGGAUAACUUGAGUGCAGAAGAGGGUAGUGGAACUCCAUGUGUAGCGGUGGAAUGCGUAGAUAUAUGGAAGAACACCAGUGGCGAAGGCGGCUACCUGGUCUGCAACUGACGCUGAGACUCGAAAGCAUGGGUAGCGAACAGGAUUAGAAACCCCGGUAGUCC
rnacentral:rRNA from 1 species